GUAUAUUAUACAUAGGGCGGAAGCCUGAUCCAGACAUGCCGCGCGUGUUCAGAAGGUCUUCGUCUUGGAGAGCACUUUAAUUCGGGAGGAAGGGCAGUUAACGAAUACUUAACUGUUUUGACGUUACCUACAGAACAAGCACCGGUUAACUUCGUGCCAGCCGCCGCGGUAAUACGAAGGGUGCAAGCGUUAAUCGGAAUUAAUGGGCGGAAAGCGCGCGUAGGUGGUUCGUUAAGUUAGAAGUGAAAGCCCCGGGCUCAACCUGGGGAUUGCUUUCAAAACUGGCGAGCUAGAGUACGGUAGAGGGUGGUGGAAUUUCCUGUGUAGCGGUGAAAUGCGUAGAUAUAGGAAGGAACAUCAGUGGCGAAGGCGACCACCUGGACUGAUACUGACACUGAGGUGCGAAAGCGUGGGGAGCAAACAGG
rnacentral:rRNA from 1 species